AGACGGGUGAGGACAGGCUUUUACCAACGGGGCUCCUCCUGGUCCCCAGGAUUGGUGUGGAGCCGCUGACAGGACAUCGCACACAGCGGAGGAGAGCUGCUCCUGCAGCCCCAGCCUGGGAUCCGGGCAAGGAGCAGAGGCUUUAAAUUUAAAUGGACAAAAUGAGUAAAGGAUAGCAAGUGAACAUUUCUAGCAUCCCAUGAGGUUCUGGGGGUUGAAGCCACCACCAGCAGAGUCAAAAGACUUUCUGGAGGUUUUUUUAGCUCAGCCUUUGGAAACCUGGGCGACAGAAGAGGUGGCUGUAGGUGUUGGAAAGCACUUGGGGUCAGCUUUGCUCAUGGAUGUCCUGUGUAACUGGGUAAAGUCACUGAAUGCCUGAAGAGUGGAAGCUGAGGCAGUUAGCUGAAACAGCACUGGUCCCUGUCAGAUCAGGACUGGACCCACCAUUCCCUGCCUGAGCCCUGGAGAGUGGAAGAAGAACCACAAAUAUGUGCAGGAAAAAAAAAGCACAAACAAAACCACAUGCAGGCACAAGAAGGGAAAUGAACAAUGGUGGGAGAUAACCUGGAUGGUGAAUUUAAAACCACUAGCAAAUACUCUUCUCCAAAAGGUUGGAUGGCUUUUUAGCUCAAAAAAGGAAGGUAGGAGGGUGAUAGGACCUGGUCAAGCUCACCUGCUUGCCUCUGCGGAAAAAGCCUUUCAUUGUGCUCUGCUCUUGGAAAUACUUUCACACAAGUUGCAAAGUUGAAAACUUCAAGUUUCACUCCCAGCAGGACAUAUGAAGGGAUCUGCCACUGCAUUCUUGGUACUUUUCAUCUGUGUCCCUAGGACAUGGACACAUGGCCAUGCCUAAGGCUGGGAGCUGGUUAUAAAAGUUCCCCCUGGCUUCUCCAGCCCACCCUUAAUCAGUGGCUUCCCUGCCUGCUCUGGGCCAGGGGCUCCUUGGGCAGGCAUUUGGCUCGGAGGUGACUCUCAGGAGCAGUGGGUGAGCACAGUGAGGAAGCUCACAGGUUUUUGGUGCAGCUCAAGCAACCAGCAGCCCCUCAGCCCUGGCAGCGGCACAUGCCGAGGAUGAAAGGCUGCGGUUCUGCCCAGCCAACUCACCCUGGAGAACUGAAGAGGUUUUCCUGAAACCCAGUAGGUUCCAGAAUUCCAGUAGGGAAUUCUGAAACUGGUGUCUUCCUACAGCUUCACACUGUGCAGUGAUAAAGAUAUCCUUAUUUUCCCUGUCCGUCUCCAAAGUGCUGCCCUGUCCCUCAUCCUUUGCCCACACUCUGGGCAGCUCUGAGCUCUGCGGACCAUUUCCCUUUCUCCUGGGGAAAAGAAAAAAAUAUUUUCCCAGUAUUUCUUACCUCGGAGGUCUCACCAAGAUGCAAAAUAACUAAACCGACGGGUUUAGUUUCGAAGACAGUCGCUGGCUCUUGCCGGCGCUGAGUUGGGGCCACCUCUGAGCGCUUUUCACGGGAGAAAAAGACAACGAAAUCCAAGCGCAGGAGGGGUUGCGGAGGGAGGUUACCUGCUCCACUGCUGGGGGCUGGCAGCGGCACCAAAGUCGCCCCGGGCUGGCCGUCGGCACUCGUGUUUUUUUUGGUUUUUCUCCUGGGAGGAAGCAGCAGUUCCGAGCA